rnacentral:rRNA from 1 species
UACGUAGGGUGCAAGCGUUUGUCCGGAAUUAUUGGGCGUAAAGAGCUCGUAGGCGGUCUGUCGCGUCGAAUGUGAAAACCCGGGGCUCAACCCCGGGCCUGCAUUCGAUACGGGCAGACUAGAGUUCGGUAGGGGAGUCUGGAAUUCCUGGUGUAGCGGUGAAACGCGCAGAUAUCAGGAGGAACAACCGGUGGCGAAGGCGGGACUCUGGGCCGA